ACACAUCUGGAAAGAACUUCCUGAAGAAGAAAAAAAUAUGUAAAGUUGAGUGGGUGAAGUGGCUUCUCUUUGUAGCAUUUAUUCAAGACCAUGUGCAGAGACCGUGGAUAGUUAAGCGUUGAGAAUAAUUGUGGCACCUUUCCCCGGUUGGAUAUCCGCUAAGUAGUUGCCCAUAAUGGAGAGGAAAAAAACAUACGCUGUCCAUGAAAAAGGUGUGCAACAUGGCAGCAACUAGGCUACUUUGGAGCCUACUUUAUGUUUCCUUAUCAUAGUUGAGGUAGCCUGUGUGGUUAUGAAGCCAGACUAUGGUUUUCUUCAUGUGGCGUUAGCAGAGGCUGAGUGUAAAAUAACAGUUGGCACUGACUUCUUUGACACCUUGAAUGACGGUUCACUUUUGUGAACAAACUGUGCAUUUCAUUUACCAGAAAAGAUAGUAAAAUAUUUGUUUAAUGAGGAUUCCCUAGUUCUUCUACAUGUUUUAAAUCUCACAUACAGGAAGGAGGCUAUUAAAAACAACUUCAUCUUGUAAACUCCUGAUUAAGCCAUAUUUAUGACUAUCCAUCUCUACAUUUAAUUAUUAUUGAGGUUAGUUUGGAUUCAUUUAGAGAAAGUUGACCCAAAGAGCAUGUGUGUAGAGAACACUGAAAAGUGUUCUAAAAAACAAAUGAACACAAUCCCAACUCUGUCACCAUUUGUAUGUUAAUGUUGUAUAAGACAAGGGUGCAAAACACUUCACCUAAUGGAUAUUUUACAACCACUAAAAAACAUUACCAAGUCGUUUCUACUGGCUCAGUCUUGGAUAGUAAUGCUUUCUACGGAGGAGAACUUGCCCAGAGAAUCUGUCUGCAGCAUGUGUGAAAAGUCUGAACUAAUAUAGAUAUUAUUAUUUAUAUCUGACAUCAAUGGAGUGGAAGAAUUUUCUCUGAAAAUGGGCAGAAGAGUACAGUAUGAUGAUCUCACAGCUGAACUAGUUUUUGUUAGUUUACAUGUGUGAUGUCAUGUAACUUUUAUUGAUUGUUUAUAGAGUAGUUUACACCUCUCUAUUGUUUACUUGCACAUUACAUCCAAAAGAGACAGUGGGUGAGAGAGACGGAGAGACAUCAAUGUCAAGAGUUAGGAUUUAAGCAUAACAAAUAGAGGGAUAUAGAGUGUCUCUCUCUAGAGGCUGACUAAAGCUUACUGAAAAAUGCCACUAGGAAGGAAGCACCAAGAGUCUCUUGACAACCAGAUCCACAUGCGUGCUGAUUCACCAGGCCCUUAGUGUGCCAUGUAUAUCACACAGAGAAACAGUGCAAUAUGUACUGCAUACUACAUUAGAUAUAACUGUAUUAGCCAACACCUUGGGCUACAGUAUACAUUUACCAUGCUGAUAAAGUAAUAGAGUGACCAGGUACAAAAGUCAUGACAUGCAAUUCUCAUGUCUGUUCAGUUCUGCAGUUGCGGUGUGUGGACAAUCUCACCGUGUAGUGUAUGUGAUCCUCAUAGCAUAAACAUGAUAAUGUUGCAGGAUCUUUAUUUCCAUCAGCAAAUGUUUCAGUGGAAACAGACAAGGGUGCAGGUAGCCUAGCGAUUAGAGUGUUGAGCCAGUAAACGAAAGGUUGCUUGUUCAAAUCUCUGAGCCGACAAGGUGAAAAUUUGGUCCAUGUGCUGUUGAGCAAGGCACUUAACCCUAAUUGUUCCAGGGGCGGUGGACAAUAGUGACCCCACUCUUUUAGGGUGUCUCAGGGGGAGUUGGGAUAUGCAAAAAAACUCUCCAAUACACACAUGUGUAUAAUAAACACUUUUACAUGUGUGAAAUAGGACAAUGUAAGCACCCACUAAAUGAUUUAAUAUUAUAAACCAGUUGGUCUCAACAUUUGUUUUUGUUAACUGUACCCCCAAUCAAAUUUCACUCUGCCCAAAGUACUCCAUCUUUUGCCUCCUCAUCUGCAGCCAAUCAUUAGGCCUAUGUUCUUAUGACUCUUCCUAAGUGCCUCCUGUGGAUAGGCGAGGUACCCUGAUGGGUACUGGUUUGUUUACCAGUACCCAUUUGGGUACCUUGCCUACUCAGGCUCAUGUGAAGCCCAAUAUUAAACUAUUAGUGUUGAUUUGGAGAUAUGUUUGUCAAGGGGGUUUCCUGUGUUUAACAGCUGUGGUGAGGACUGUGACUAUCUGAGAGGACUGCCAGAUUUUGUUCUGGAGCACCUCUGGGAAGGAUUUAUGUCUGUGAAUACACCCUUCUGGAUCCUCAACUGUGCACCAAUGCCAAGGAAUAUUGCAGUCCCUCCCUCGCUUACUCUUUGUCUAUUUGUCUUAGGGUCUGUCUGCCUUUGAAUCGCACUGCUCUCUGGGGUUCUCUCUGUCUUUUCAGAUGUGGCUGGAAGAAACAUGAACAAAGACUCUUUUGAGGAAAAAAACCAGGAAGGACCCAGAGCGUGCGCCAAAAGUUCCUGUGGAGAAGGCUGCGGAGGGAGAGGAUGACAUCCCAGUGGUCAUCUGUGCUGUGGAGGAACGAAUGGGCGGUGCCAUGCCAACCAUCAACAGCAUCUAUAGCAACACAGAUGCCAGCGUGUUUUUCAUUAUUGUCACUCUUCGUGAUUCCAUCAAGCUGACAAGGUGUUUCACACUAAUCUCUCCCCUUCCAUUGUCACUGAUUUGUAGCAAUUUCAGUUCCUAGUACCAACCCAGGAUGUUUUAUUGAAUUAUCUGAAUUGUUUCAAUAAAGGCCUUAAAGGACAACUGAUAAAUGACUUUAAAAUGGAGUGAGUAGAACUGUCAUUA